rnacentral:rRNA from 1 species
UGAAACCGUGUGCUUACAAGUAGUCAGAGCCCGUUAAUGGGUGAUGGCGUGCCUUUUGUAGAAUGAACCGGCGAGUUACGAUUUGAUGCAAGGUUAAGCAGUAAAUGUGGAGCCGUAGCGAAAGCGAGUCUGAAUAGGGCGUUUAGUAUUUGGUCGUAGACCCGAAACCAGGUGAUCUACCCUUGGUCAGGUUGAAGUUCAGGUAACACUGAAUGGAGGACCGAACCGACUUACGUUGAAAAGUGAGCGGAUGAACUGAGGGUAGCGGAGAAAUUCCAAUCGAACCUGGAGAUAGCUGGUUCUCUCCGAAAUAGCUUUAGGGCUAGCCUCAAGUGAUGAUUAUUGGAGGUAGAGCACUGUUUGGACGAGGGGCCCCUCUCGGGUUACCGAAUUCAGACAAACUCCGAAUGCCAAUUAAUUUAACUUGGGAGUCAGAACAUGGGUGAUAAGGUCCGUGUUCGAAAGGGAAACAGCCCAGACCACCAGCUAAGGUCCCAAAAUAUAUGUUAAGUGGAAAAGGAUGUGGCGUUGCCCAGACAACUAGGAUGUUGGCUUAGAAGCAGCCAUCAUUUAAAGAGUGCGUAAUAGCUCACUAGUCGAGUGACACUGCGCCGAAAAUGUACCGGGGCUAAACAUAUUACCGAAGCUGUGGAUUGUCCUUUGGACAAUGGUAGGAGAGCGUUCUAAGGGCGUUGAAGCAUGAUCGUAAGGACAUGUGGAGCGCUUAGAAGUGAGAAUGCCGGUGUGAGUAGCGAAAGACGGGUGAGAAUCCCGUCCACCGAUUGACUAAGGUUUCCAGAGGAAGGCUCGUCCGCUCUGGGUUAGUCGGGUCCUAAGCUGAGGCCGACAGGCGUAGGCGAUGGAUAACAGGUUGAUAUUCCUGUACCACCUAUAAUCGUUUUAAUCGAUGGGGGGACGCAGUAGGAUAGGCGAAGCGUGCGAUUGGAUUGCACGUCUAAGCAGUAAGGCUGAGUAUUAGGCAAAUCCGGUACUCGUUAAGGCUGAGCUGUGAUGGGGAGAAGACAUUGUGUCUUCGAGUCGUUGAUUUCACACUGCCGAGAAAAGCCUCUAGAUAGAAAAUAGGUGCCCGUACCGCAAACCGACACAGGUAGUCAAGAUGAGAAUUCUAAGGUGAGCGAGCGAACUCUCGUUAAGGAACUCGGCAAAAUGACCCCGUAACUUCGGGAGAAGGGGUGCUCUUUAGGGUUAACGCCCAGAAGAGCCGCAGUGAAUAGGCCCAAGCGACUGUUUAUCAAAAACACAGGUCUCUGCUAAACCGUAAGGUGAUGUAUAGGGGCUGACGCCUGCCCGGUGCUGGAAGGUUAAGAGGAGUGGUUAGCUUCUGCGAAGCUACGAAUCGAAGCCCCAGUAAACGGCGGCCGUAACUAUAACGGUCCUAAGGUAGCGAAAUUCCUUGUCGGGUAAGUUCCGACCCGCACGAAAGGCGUAACGAUUUGGGCACUGUCUCAACGAGAGACUCGGUGAAAUCAUAGUACCUGUGAAGAUGCAGGUUACCCGCGACAGGACGGAAAGACCCCGUGGAGCUUUACUGUAGCCUGAUAUUGAAAUUCGGCACAGCUUGUACAGGAUAGGUAGGAGCCUUUGAAACGUGAGCGCUAGCUUACGUGGAGGCGCUGGUGGGAUACUACCCUAGCUGUGUUGGCUUUCUAACCCGCACCACUUAUCGUGGUGGGAGACAGUGUCAGGCGGGCAGUUUGACUGGGGCGGUCGCCUCCUAAAAGGUAACGGAGGCGCUCAAAGGUUCCCUCAGAAUGGUUGGAAAUCAUUCAUAGAGUGU